UACGGGGGGAGCAAGCGUUGUUCGGAUUUACUGGGCGUAAAGGGCGCGUAGGCGGCCAGUGCAAGUCAGUUGUGAAAUCUCCGAGCUUAACUCGGAAAGGUCAACUGAUACUGCUCGGCUAGAGUGCGGAAGGGGCAACUGGAAUUCUUGGUGUAGCGGUGAAAUGCGUAGAUAUCAAGAGGAACACCUGCGGCGAAGGCGGGUUGCUGGGCCGACACUGACGCUGAUGCACGAAAGCGUGGGGAGCAAACAGG
rnacentral:rRNA from 1 species